CAGUGACCCGUAACAUCAUUACCGGUUCCCCACAAAGUAAGGUCAGACGCGCCACCUCGCCACGGGAAGCCAAAAGCUGAUUUCGUGAUGUGCUGGAGUGCCGGGAAAUUAAGAUAAGUUUAAAUGUGUGUAGUUUGUAUACCUCACACGCCACUGAUAGGCUAUAGGAACUAUUAGGGUAUAACAGUCAACUUUUCCUGUCUUCGUCAUCUUACUGUUGUUAUUUGUUAUGGUGUAAAUGUGGACAUCUGUAAUUUUCACGCCGCUGUUAGGCUAUAUAAUCUUAAACAUUGAGGUAUAGCAGUUCUUCCUUAUUGUCAUCAUCAUUCUCUGUGGUAGUAGUCUUCAUAUAUAACACGUGUGAAUGCGGCAAUAUACGAAAAUAUUCCAUAGUCUACUCUCCAGCGAGUGUUGAGAACUGCCGCGGUGAAUGAGCGACCCAUUAGCAGCAAGUCCCACCCACGUACCCCUCUGCAAUAACGCUCACCAUUUCCAGGGCUUCGAUAAAGGCAACCUGUAUCAUCAGCGAUAACCGUAAGGACUCCUGUGUUAUCACGGUGGCGGUUUACACGCAGCUCGUCGCGCAUGCGUGGAGCGGCUGGAGGCUGUGGCUGCUCGACCGUUUGUUUUGGAGCAGAAGAGAACGUUGCCUCGCAGUAAGAGAUGAGAGUCUGUGUUUAGGAGGCUUAAUUAAUGAGGUAUCGACAGGUGUGAAGAUCAUCCCCAGUGGCCUUAGUGUUGACAGAAGACGACCAUAGCAGAGGAAGGGCCAAGCACAGGAAUAUAACAAAAUUGGAGAAGCUGCAAGAAGCCAUCAGGUCUACAAGUGGCAGUCCCUGUAUAAGACAUGCCUAUCUACUCGUAUUUCCACCUAUCAUCCCCAUUAAUAAACUUGUCCAGUCUUUCAACUUUGACAGGCAAGAAUCCACCAAACUUAAAGCACUGUACAGAAUAUUUUUAAGUCCCCCACAAGAAAAACGAAAGACGGAAGGAUAAAGUUUAAAUCACUACAUACAUUUAUUUCUUUCAAGUCACUGCAAGAAAAGCAAAGCAGAGAUUACAAGAAUAAAGCUUACAACACUAUGCAUUUUUCAAGUCCCUACAAGAAGAGAAAAGACAUUAGAAGGAUAAAGUUUACACCACUAUAUAA